CAUAUCAUCAAACUUUUCAUCUAGUAUCACCUAACAAGUGGUAAUCUUGACCUAUCUCCAAAAGGUAAGCAAGGUAAAUAUAUUGAACCUUGUUAAUUAUGUCAAAUAGAAUGUGUUUUUUGCAUGAAUCUUGAACAUGUCUUAAUUAUGCAUUAUAUUUGAAUGAUUGAAACAUGCUUUAAAAUGAAAAUUGCCUAACAAAAUGCUAACAAGUGCUAACAAGUGCUAAAGUACUAACAAGUGGUAUCAGAGCACUUGUUAGUACUUUUAUGAUAACGACGUUGAUUCGCACAAUUGGUCAUCGCGCUUGGUUGAAAAGCCAGUGGCGCGAAGCUACCGUGCGUUGGAUUAUGACUGAACGCCUCUAAGUCAGAAUCCGGGCUAGAAGCGAUGCGUGUGCCCGUCGCCCGUUUGCCGACCAGCAGUAGGGGGCCUCGGCCCCCCAGAGGCACGUGCCGUUGGUGACCCCCGCGGGGUGGACGAGCCUCGCGGGACGCCUUGAAGCGCUAUUCCCCACUGGGCGGCGGGUAGAAUCCUUUGCAGACGACUUAAAUACGCGACGGGGUAUUGUAAGUGGCAGAGUGGCCUUGCUGCCACGAUCCACUGAGAUUCAGCCCUUGUCGCUUCGAUUCGUCCCUCCCAUCUCAAACCUUCUUCCGAGCUAGGUCGUACACCCUACGGGGGUUACGAACCCGCACCUCGUACGGGCGAGUAGGUGCAAAGUCCGCGUUCCGCAAGCACACGGUAGAGACAAAGUCACUUACAAUGUGGAGUGCGGCAUCGCCUCUGGCCAUGCCCCAUGGUGCCUUGUGUGUGGUUCAUGGUGUCCGGUGGUUGGGGUGCUUUGUGCAUGGUGUGGUUCCUCGUGCGUGAUCCCGAGUGCAAGGUGAAAGAGAGGCCAUGACACAUGUGUCCGAGUGCUACUAGGUGAAAUUGAGGCCAUUACACACUUUCCGAGUGCUAGGUGAAAGUGACCCGUUCCGUGGCACACGUCCCGAGUGCUAGGUGAAAGUGACCCAUUCCGUGGCACAAGUUCCGAGUGCUAGGUGAAGGUGACCCAUGCCAUGGCACAUGGUCCGAGUGCUCGGUGAAAGUGACCCAUGCCAUGACCCGUGCCUCGCGUGGGAUUCUUGCUCAUCUCGCAUUCCCUAUUCCGGUGAAAGCAUCGUAAGACGCCGGCCCCUUCAUGAAAUGCCUCCAUAUUUGGAGGGGAACCCGGAAUUGUUUUGCCAUGGUUGCCUGCAAAGUCUCAAGUCGGAAUUCAACUCCUAGGCGAUGUUGCCCGUCAUGGCACCACGGCGUGUGCCGCACUUUGGUGGAAAAUCGUUUGAGGUAGAUGCCUCGAUGUUACGUGGGCGUAACUUUGGGAAAUGUUUAGGAAUGAUAUUCCAAGCAUUCCUGCAAAAGAACAGCUCAAAAAACAUGGUACAUACUCAUUUUCUAAUUUUCGGGAAUUAUGUAAUGCUCGCUGCUUAGAAAAAUUACGAAAAAUUAUCGGCUUGGAUAAAAAUCAUGAAACUUCGUGGACCACCAGCUCCCAUUUUUAUAAGCACGUGUGAAAAAAUCAGGGCAAAAUUCGACCUCUAGCCUAAAUAAACCCAGUAUGUCUCCCAAGAGAAAAGGAUGUCUAGUGGUGCAGAGUGGGUUUUUGCAUAUUAGCCUACUAUAGGGGGGAAGUUGCCUGCCCGCCCAUGCACCUUGGUGGGUCAGGAUGGCAUGCCAUGGGGCUCCCCCCAGUGCCAUAGCAAGCUGUCCCAGGCAUGCUGGUGCGUUUUUCCAUGGCGUUGUGGGCAAUUCGACCGCGUCGUCUUCCAUGCCGAAUCCCGGUCACGCGCGGCCAGGUGUCCCCAGCAAGCUGUCCCAGGCAUGCUGGUGCGUUUUUCCAUGGCGUUGUGGGCAAUUCGACCGAGCCGUCUUCCAUGCCGAAUCCCGGUCGCACGCGGCCGGGUGCAGGCUGGUGCUUUGGCUUGGUGUCGUCCGGGCACGUAGGACUUGUCGGGGAUGCAUCAAGGGCUUCGACAGUUCCUCGCGGACCAACUCGGAUUUCUUGAUGCGUGAGUCCCUCUUGUCGAGGUGCCGGCUUCGUCACACGGUGCCGAGUUGGGUAGUUGCGGGCAUCGGUCGGACGUGCCGAGGCUUCAAGUGUUGCGGGGCCUCCAUCCUUUUGAGGUCUAGUUCGUACACCCAACGAGGGUUAGCAACUCGUGUGUGCGGUUGGUCGAAUUGGUGCAACGAAAAUCCACGAUGGACACAUAGUCCCUUAUUCGGUGAGUGCAUCACAAGACGCCGACCCCUUCAUGAAAUGCCUCCAUAUUUGGAGGGGAACCCGGAAUUGUUUUGCCAUGGUUGCCUGCAAAGUCUCAAGUCGGAAUUCAACUCCUAGGCGAUGUUGCCCGUCAUGGCACCACGGCGUGUGCCGCACUUUGGUGGAAAAUCGUUUGAGGUAGAUGCCUCGAUGUUACGUGGGCGUAACUUUGGGAAAUGUUUAGGAAUAAUAUUC
rnacentral:lncRNA from 1 species